rnacentral:rRNA from 1 species
ACUCCUACGGGAGGCAGCAGUGGGGAAUAUUGGACAAUGGGCGAAAGCCUGAUCCAGCCAUGCCGCGUGUGUGAAGAAGGUCUUCGGAUUGUAAAGCACUUUAAGUUGGGAGGAAGGGUUGUAGAUUAAUACUCUGCAAUUUUGACGUUACCGACAGAAUAAGCACCGGCUAACUCUGUGCCAGCAGCCGCGGUAAUACAGAGGGUGCAAGCGUUAAUCGGAAUUACUGGGCGUAAAGCGCGCGUAGGUGGUUCGUUAAGUUGGAUGUGAAAUCCCCGGGGCUCAACCUGGGGAACUGCAUUCAAAACUGUCGAGCUAGAGUAUGGUAGAGGGUGGUGGAAUUUCCUGUGUAGCGGUGAAAUGCGUAGAUAUAGGAAGGAACACCAGUGGCGAAGGCGACCACCUGGACUGAUACUGACACUGAGGUGCGAAAGCGUGGGGAGCAAACAGGAUUAGACACCCUGGUAGCACAGAG